rnacentral:rRNA from 1 species
UUGACGGGGCCGCACAAGCGGUGGAGCAUGUGGUUUAAUUCGAAGCAACGCGAAGAACCUUACCGGGCCUUGACAUGGCUAGGGAACCCGGGUGAAAGGCCUGGGGUGCCCGCGAGGGAGCCCUAGCACAGGUGCUGCAUGGCCGUCGUCAGCUCGUGCCGUGAGGUGUUGGGUUAAGUCCCGCAACGAGCGCAACCCCCGCCGUUAGUUGCCAGCAUUCAGUUGGGCACUCUAAGGUGACUGCCGGCUAAAAGUCGGAGGAAGGUGGGGAUGACGUCAAAUCAUCAUGCCCCUUAUGACCUGGGCUACACACGUGCUACAAUGGGCGGUACAAAGGGUCGCGAACCCGCGAGGGGGAGCCAAUCCCAAAAAGCCGCUCUCAGUUCGGAUUGCAGGCUGCAACUCGCCUGCAUGAAGCCGGAAUCGCUAGUAAUCGCGGAUCAGCGUGCCCGCGGUCGAAUACGUUCCCGGGCCUU